GUGGCCUCAGUGUGUCUCACACCAUUUACAGAUGAUUACAGGUCGUUUACAGUUCAAACAGGUCCAACAUAAGAAAUAUGCAGAAAAUAUCCUGCUAUAACAGUUUGGGUCAAAGUGCAGAUGUUCCAGAUGUUCUGAGUCUGUCUGUGUUUCAUGUUAACAUGUAGAUGUUGGACCAAAGUGAAGCUUUUUGAUGUGACAGCAGGAAUGUGAAGUGUAACUCUGAGCUGUAGGAAAUGAAACUAAACGCACUUUUUCUCCUUUAUUUAUAGGAAAGUGUAGGAGAGCAACAGAUGAACAAGCGUUACUGUAACAGGAAACAUCAGAGGACCUGAGGUCAGGGCGUCACACAAACAGCUUUAACUGCACAACGACACACUUUAAAUCAUCUGCAGACAAACCUGUGUGUUUGAUUUAUGAAGAAAUAAUAAAGACGUGUGUACAGCUGUCCAUGAAGCAGCUUCUCACACAAACUCUGACACUUCAGCC
ensembl:lncRNA